CUUGGGACUCCAGGUCAGCCCAUGACACUGCAGCCCUGUCCUACAGGAAGAUUCCCGUUUUGUCUGACAUGGUUUUCAAUAUCAUAAACGUUUGUACUGCAGUCACUGCUGUUUAACAUCAGUGACAGGUUACAUUUCCAUUAUGGUGUAAUAGCAUAUCCAGGUCAUAUCUGAAGAUAAAUGAUGGACACAAUUCUGAAGCAUAGAACAAGCUGCACAUUCAAAACUUGAGAACCACACUCUUCGUACACACCAGCCAGAGGUGGCCCUUAUCCUCCUCCCCAUUCUAGUUGGAGCAGGAAGAUCUAUCAGGCUGAGUGAAGUCACUGGUCUCAACUCCUACCUGUUCAGAACUUUCCAGGAGACUAGCUGGCUAAUGCAAUUUUAUUUCACAAGAAGGAGUGUCCACUUGAACACGGAGUUGGGGGGCUCACCGUCUACACCGUAUCAGGAGACAUAACUCACAAGAGAGACAAACUAAGACAGAAACGGCCAGGUCUCUUGGCUGAAGCAGGAGGUGCCAGGGCCUCCUUCCUAACAGGGACCCUGACCAGGCUGGCAGUUGUUCAAGUCACUCAGGAACCAUGAGCUGUUACGGGGAGAUCACUACCUAUGCCCCAGCUUUGCUUAUUUACACUGAAAACAACAUGACCAAACAACCUACAGCUCCUCCCAAAAGACGUGGGAUGAACCUUAGAAUGAACAAUAAGA
ensembl:lincRNA